GUAGCUCAGUGGUAGAGUGCUUGCCUUGCAAGCAUGAGGUCCUGGGUUCGAUUCCUCAGC
rnacentral:tRNA from 1 species